CGCCUCUUGCAAAAUUAAUAAAUAAGAGGUCCCGCCUGCCCUGUGACUAUAUGUUUAACGGCCGCGGUAUUUUGACCGUGCGAAGGUAGCGCAAUCACUUGUCUUUUAAAUGAAGACCCGUAUGAAUGGCAUAACGAGGGCUUAACUGUCUCUUUUUUCAAGUCAAUGAAAUUGAUCUCCCCGUGCAGAAGCGGGGAUAAGCCCAUAAGACGAGAAGACCCUGCGGAGCUUUAGACACCAAGACAGAUUUUUGUCAAGUACCCCGAACUAAUGGAUUGAACCAAUUAAGCCCUGUCCUUAUGUCUUCGGUUGGGGCGACCGCGGGGAAAUGAAUAACCCCCACGUGGAAUGGGAGCACCUCCUCCCACAACUAAGAGCCCCCGCUCUAAUGACCAGGACUUCUGACCAAUGAGAUCCGGCAACGCCGAUUAACGAACCAAGUUACCCCAGGGAUAACAGCGCAAUCCCCUUUUAGAGCCCAUAUCGACAAGGGGGUUUACGACCUCGAUGUUGGAUCAGGACAUCCUAAUGGUGCAGCCGCUAUUAAGGGUUCGUUUGUUCAACGAUUAAAGUCCU
rnacentral:rRNA from 1 species